GCGCACCAGGCGAGAAAACUUCGCAAUGCGCGAAAGCGCGACGAGGGGAUUCCAAGUGCAUGCACUAAGUGUAUGCUUUCGUGAGUUUAAAACGCUCACGGAAUAAGGCUGGGUAAGACUGGUGCCAGCCGCCGCCGGUAAUACCAGCGGCCCUAGUGGUGAUCGUUAUUAUUGGGGCCUAAAGCGUCCGUAGCCGGUCCGGUAAAUCUCUAGGGGUAAAUCGUUGGGCUUAACUCAGCGAAUUCUGGGGAGACUGCUGGACUUGGGACCGGGAGAGGUCGGAGGU
rnacentral:rRNA from 1 species